GAUANUUCUAAUAGCGCAGAUUAUCUGUGCUAAGGUAGCAUAAUCACUUGUUUUAUAAUUCAAAACUGGAAUAAAUGACUUCACGUUUAAAUUAUUUUAUUAAAUAUAUUUCAUUUAAAUUAUUUUAAGUAUAAAAAUAUAUUUUUAUUUUAAAAAGACGAUAAGACCCUAUUGAAUUUUACUUCUGUUUAGCUGGGGAAGCUAAAUAAAUAAUAUUUUAUUUAUUUAAAAAUAAAAAUUCUAAUAUAAUAUUAAUUAUCAUUUAAUUACCAUAGGGAUAACAGCGUAAUAACAUUUUAUAGUUCUUAUAAUAAAUAUUGAUUGCGACCUCGAUGUUGAAUUAUUUUAUCUAUUUUAUGCAAAAAUAAAUAUAGUAGGUCUGUUCGACCUUUAAUAAAUUACA
rnacentral:rRNA from 1 species